UCGGAGAUAGAAUCAGUCACUUUAUCCAAACACUGACAUAAACCAAGGCGUUGCCAUUUACCAUGCACCAGCUUACUACCAGGUAGCCAAACAUGUAACAUGUUCGCCAAAACAAAAUCGGGGUCACUCUACCAACAGUUACACAUGUGCUUGGAAUAUCGCUUUUAAUUCAAUCAAAUAAGAUUAAAAUCACCUGCUCUGUGUCUUUGUAUCGCAUACUUUCUGGAUAUAUGGGGUGUUAAGAUUACAUCUGAUAAUAUCAUACGAAAUCACGUCGUGUUUGACACAACAUUCAUCGCUAUAAACUCCAAUAAACAUGUGUCGAACUUAUGUUGUCACUCGGACGCUUCCCUGUAAAACGUAUAUUGAAGUUAAGCGCUGUGAUGAUCUCGACCUCGGCAUGAGUUUACUAACAACAGACGAUAUUCCCGUGCUUUAAUCUGAAUUAUUUUAAAUCGUGAACAUAAAAAGAAAACGUGAAUUGGUCGGUUCCUCGUCUGAAAAUACAUCCAUAUUAAACAAUAGGCGUAUGCCAGACGAGGCCAAAACCUCUGGUCAGAUUACAUGUUUAUCGUUCGGUUCACCUAUGACCUCGUUUGUUUACCUUGCUCCCGAGAUGUGACGAGAGUGUUACCUCGAGCUCGUGCGAUCUAAAUGUGCACGAUGCAAGUAUUAAAUACUGUAAUAUUUAUCUUAGAAGUAUGACACAAUAGAAGUUUAUGAUUAAGAAUAAAAAACACGCACAAGUAAAAAUGAAUCGUGUUAAUCUCUGGCAGUAAAAUAUUUAUCCCAUGAUGCAACACACACGAGUUUAGCGGGAAGUCUGAUAGCCAUGUUUGAAUUCACCGGAUGUUUAUUUCCAGAAGAAAAGUAUAAACAAACACGACGAUAGCCUAAAAACGAAGUUUGUUUCCCGUCUUACUGAAGAAGAUCGACUUACUUCAAGUUACCAACGACUGAAUAUCAGCUUUCUCGUUGUUUUUGACGACCGAUGCAUAUUUUUACCGACAAACAUCGUUACGAGACAGGGGUUUUGAUGAUUAAUUUAUCACAGAUUACACGACUGAAUGAAACGCAGUACCGAUCCAUGUGUUACAAUCAGACCGAGUCUGCAUGCAGUACAUUCUGGAAUGAGGGACACCGCAUGCAUUGUGGUCCAAAUUGAUGGCAUUGACUUAACAAAAAGCAGAAAGGAAUGAAGAGAAAUUAAGAAGUUUAUGUUUCACAUUAAUUAAGAUUAUUCGAGAUAUGUUAUCUGUCGAGGUAUACAACAUUUCCUUUCAUA